AUUUAUGAUUGGGUGCAUCAGAGAUAUAAUAGACUAACGUAUAUCCCUGGGUGCUUGUACUCUGACCUUGAAACACAACUUGAAGCAAAUUGAAUCUUGGCCUUAAAAAUUUUGUUUGCAAUGCAGUCUUUGAAAAUUUUAGAAAUUCUACAAUCUCUCAAAUCAUUCAUUAUAGUAAUCUACAUAUCUAAAAUCACAGAAAAAUUUUGAAGAUUUGUAGCUACCGGAGCAUGAAAGGAAUGACUUUGGCUCUUAUUUCUGUGGGAUUAAGCUGUAAUAUUGAAAUCCUGGAAAUGCAUUCAAAGGCCAGAACUGUCCCAGUUAAUACUAAGGUAACCUUAAAGUGCUUCACUAGUAGCUGUGAGCAUGCACACAUGAUUACCAAACAACCCGAGAGAGAGCUUGAUGAAUGUAGUAAUAUCCAAAAUAUUGGCAUAUUGACUUGCAACAUCACUAUCGUGGAACCUGUUGAAGUUAGAUGUGUUGGUGUACACCCAGAUGGGUGCGCAGUAUACAAAUUGAAAUUGAAGACUCAACUACUGAUGCAGGUUUAGUGGCACAUCCAAUUGAAAAAAUUCCUUGCAACUGUUCAACAAAAAAUGAGCCAGAAUGUAAAAGUAAGAAUAUUUUAGGAUUCAUCAGUCAUUG